UGUUGCCUACGGGAGGCAGCAGUGGGGGAUAUUGCACAAUGGGGGGAACCCUGAUGCAGCGACGCCGCGUGGGUGAAGAAGCGCCUCGGCGCGUAAAGCCCUGUCAGCAGGGAAGAAAAUGACGGUACCUGAAGAAGAAGCCCCGGCUAACUACGUGCCAGCAGCCGCGGCAAUACGUAGGGGGCAAGCGUUAUCCGUAUUUACUGGGUGUAAAGGGAGCGUAGACGGCAUAGCAAGUCUGAAGUGAAAGCCCAAGGCUCAACCAUGGUACUGCUUUGGAAACUGUUAAGCUAGACUGCUGUAGU
rnacentral:rRNA from 1 species